GAGGGCAGAUUAUUUCUGAUACGAUUUUGACUUUUGACAGGUAACAGAGUAAUUCUGUCCUUCU